rnacentral:rRNA from 1 species
GCGGCAGGCCUAACACAUGCAAGUCGAGGGGUAACAGGGAGUGCUUGCACUCUGCUGACGACCGGCGCACGGGUGCGUAACGCGUAUGCAACCUACCUUCUACAGGGGGAUAGCCCAGAGAAAUUUGGAAUAAUACCCCAUACGAUCUUUACUUGGCAUCGAGUAAAGAAGAAAACUUCGGUGGUAGAAGAUGGGCAUGCGUCCUAUUAGUUAGUUGGUGAGGUAACGGCUUACCAAGACUUCGAUAGGUAGGGGCCCUGAGAGGGGGAUCCCCCACACUGGUACUGAGACACGGACCAGACUCCUACGGGAGGCAGCAGUGAGGAAUAUUGGACAAUGGGGGCAACCCUGAUCCAGCCAUGCCGCGUGCAGGAAGACUGCCCUAUGGGUUGUAAACUGCUUUUAUACAGGAAGAAACUGUGCUACGUGUAGCGCACUGACGGUACUGUAAGAAUAAGGAUCGGCUAA